ACCUUCGUGGUGUAGUGGUAAGCACACUCGGCACGUAUUCGAGAGGUCUGUGUUUCGAGUCCCAGCGAGGGCA
rfam:Stegodyphus mimosarum contig7051, whole genome shotgun sequence.